UACGUAGGGUGCAAGCGUUAAUCGGAAUUACUGGGCGUAAAGCGUGCGCAGGCGGCUUUGCAAGACAGAUGUGAAAUCCCCGGGCUCAACCUGGGAACUGCAUUUUGUGACUGCAUGGCUGGAGUGCGGCAGAGGGGGGAUGGAAUUCCGCGUGUAGCAGUGAAAAUGCGUAGAUAUGCGGAGGAACACCGAUGGCGAAGGCAAUCCCCUGGGCCUGCACUGACGCU
rnacentral:rRNA from 1 species